CAGCCGCGUAAUUCCAGCUCCAAUAGCGUAUAUUAAAGUUGUUGCAGUUAAAAAGCUCGUAGUUGAAUUUCGGGAUCAAAUUGUUGGUCGUGCUUCGGUACGCACUGGCAUUAUUGGUUCCUACCUUCUGAAGAACCGCGAUGUCAUUAAUUUGGUGUCGUGGGGAAUCAGGACUGUUACUUUGAAAAAAUUAGAGUGUUUAAAGCAGGCGCACGCUUGAAUACAUUAGCAUGGAAUAAUGAAAUAGGACGUUUGAUUCUAUUUUGUUGGUUUCUAGGAUCGACGUAAUGAUUAAUAGGGAUAGUUGGGGGCAUUAGUAUUCAAUUGUCAGAGGUGAAAUUCUUGGAUUUAUUGAAGACUAACUACUGCGAAAGCAUUUGCCAAGGAUGUUUUCAUUAAUCAAGAACGAAAGUUAGGGGAUCGAAGACGAUCAGAUACCGUCGUAGUCUUAACCAUAAACUAUGCCGACUAGGGAUCGGAUGAUGUUAAUUUUAUAAUGACUCAUUCGGCGCCUUACG
rnacentral:misc_RNA from 1 species